GAUGAACGCUGGCGGCGUGCCUAAUACAUGCAAGUCGAGCGAACAGACGAGGAGCUUGCUCCUCUGACGUUAGCGGCGGACGGGUGAGUAACACGUGGAUAACCUACCUAUAAGACUGGGAUAACUUCGGGAAACCGGAGCUAAUACCGGAUAAUAUAUUGAACCGCAUGGUUCAAUAGUGAAAGACGGUUUUGCUGUCACUUAUAGAUGGAUCCGCGCCGCAUUAGCUAGUUGGUAAGGUAACGGCUUACCAAGGCGACGAUGCGUAGCCGACCUGAGAGGGUGAUCGGCCACACUGGAACUGAGACACGGUCCAGACUCCUACGGGAGGCAGCAGUAGGGAAUCUUCCGCAAUGGGCGAAAGCCUGACGGAGCAACGCCGCGUGAGUGAUGAAGGUCUUCGGAUCGUAAAACUCUGUUAUUAGGGAAGAACAAAUGUGUAAUUAACUAUGCACGUCUUGACGGUACCUAAUCAGAAAGCCACGGCUAACUACGUG
rnacentral:rRNA from 1 species